rnacentral:rRNA from 1 species
GGAUUAACGCUGGCAGUGUGUAUAAUACAUGCAAGUCGACUGCAUUUAGUUGCAGGGCAGACGGGUGAGUAACACGUUGGUUAUCUGCCCCGAACUCAGGGAUAACAUCGAGAAAUCGGUGAUAAUACCGGAUGGUCCCGCAAGGGUAAAGAUUUAUCGGUUCGGGAGGAGCCUGCGUAGUAUCAGCUUGUUGGUGAGGUAAUAGCUCACCAAGGCUAUGACGCUUAGCUGGUCUGAGAGGAUGAUCAGUCACAAUGGAACUGAGACACGGUCCAUACUCCUACGGGAGGCAGCAGUAAAGAAUCUUCCGCAAUGGACGAAAGUCUGACGGAGCAACACUGCGUGGUGGAUGAAGGCCUUCGGGUCGUAAACACCUUUUCUGGGGGAAGAAGUUCUGACGGUACCCCAGGAAUAAGCGACGGCUAAUUACGUGCCAGCAGCCGCGGUAAUACGUAAGUCGCAAGCGUUAUCCGGAAUUAUUGGGCGUAAAGCGUCCGUAGGCGGUUUUAUAAGUCUGUGGUUAAAUCCCAGGGCUCAACCCUGGAAUCGUCAUGGAAACUAUAAAACUUGAGGUAUGCAGGGGCAGAUGGAAUUCCAGAAGUAGGGGUAAAAUCCGUAGAUCUCUGGAGGAACACCAAACGCGAAGGCAUUCUGCUGGACAUUACCUGACGCUGAGGGACGAAAGUGUGGGGAGCAAACGGGAUUAGAUACCCCGGUAGUCCACACCGUAAACGAUGGAUACUCGGUAUUGGAGGCUUCGACCCCUUCGGUGCCUAAGCUAACGCAUUAAGUAUCCCGCCUGGGUAGUACGGUCGCAAGAUUAAAACUCAAAGGAAUAGACGGGGACCUACACAAGCGGUGGAGCAUGUGGUUUAAUUCGAUAGUAAGCGGGAAACCUUACCAGGGCUUGACAUCUUGAGAAUUCUCUAGAAACAGAGAAGUGCCUUUUGGAACUCAAUGACAGGUGUUGCAUGGUUGUCGUCAGCUCGUGCCUUGAGGUGUACUGUUAAGUCAGGAAACGAGCGCAACCCUCGUUGUAUGUUGUAUUUUUCAUGCAAGACUGCCGACUCCAAGUCGGAGGAAGGUGAGGAUAACGUCAAAUCAGCAUGGCCCUUAUGCCCUGGGCUACACACGUGCUACAAUGGUCGGUACAAUGGGUCGCCAAAUCGUAAGAUGGAGACAAUCCUAUCAAAGCCGGCCUCAGUUCGGAUUGAGGGCUGCAACUCGCCCUCAUGAAGUUGGAAUCGCUAGUAAUCGUGAAUCAGAAUGUCACGGUGAAUAUGUUCCUAGGUCUUGUACUCACCGCCCGUC